GACGAACGCUGGCGGCGUGCCUAAUACAUGCAAGUUGAGCGCUGAAGGUUGGUACUUGUACCAACUGGAUGAGCAGCGAACGGGUGAGUAACGCGUGGGGAAUCUGCCUUUGAGCGGGGGACAACAUUUGGAAACGAAUGCUAAUACCGCAUAAAAACUUUAAACACAAGUUUUAAGUUUGAAAGAUGCAAUUGCAUCACUCAAAGAUGAUCCCGCGUUGUAUUAGCUAGUUGGUGAGGUAAAGGCUCACCAAGGCGAUGAUACAUAGCCGACCUGAGAGGGUGAUCGGCCACAUUGGGACUGAGACACGGCCCAAACUCCUACGGGAGGCAGCAGUAGGGAAUCUUCGGCAAUGGACGAAAGUCUGACCGAGCAACGCCGCGUGAGUGAAGAAGGUUUUCGGAUCGUAAAACUCUGUCGGUAGAGAAGAACGUUGGUGAGAGUGGAAAGCUCAUCAAGUGACGGUAACUACCCAGAAAGGGACGGCUAACUACGUG
rnacentral:rRNA from 1 species